UACGAAGGGGGCUAGCGUUGCUCGGAAUUACUGGGCCUAAAGCGCACGUAGGCGGCUUUCUAAGUCGGGGGUGAAAUCCUGGAGCUCAACUCCAGAACUGCCUUCGAUACUGGAGAGCUUGAGUCCGGGAGAGGUGAGUGGAACUGCGAGUGUAGAGGUGAAAUUCGUAGAUAUUCGCAAGAACACCAGUGGCGAAGGCGGCUCACUGGCCCGGUACUGACGCUGAGGUGCGAAAGCGUGGGGAGCAAACAGG
rnacentral:rRNA from 1 species